GGCAGUGUAGCAUAGGGGUAGAGAACAGGGCUUGUAACCAAAAGGUUGCUGGUUCAAUUCCUCGUUAGGCCACUGCUG